rnacentral:rRNA from 1 species
UUUGAUUCUGGCAGCGAUUGAACGCCUGGCGGGAUGCACACAUGCAGUCGAACGGCGGCACGGACUUCGGUCCUGGUGGCAGUGGCGGACGGGUGAGUAAUGUCGGAGCAUUGCUAGUGGCGGGGAUAUACGCGAGAAAGCGUAGCUAAUACCGCAUACGCCCUUCGAGGAAACUGGGGACCUUCCGGGCUUUCACACUGUUAAGCGGCGAUAUCGGAUUAGCUGGUUGGUGGGAGUAACGGCUCACCAAAGGCGACGAUCCGCGCUGGUUUGAAAGACGACCAGCCCACACUGGGACUGGAACCUGGCCCAGACUCCUACAGGAAGCGGCAAUGGGGAAUUACCUGGACAAUGGGGAAACCCUGAUCACAGCCAUCCGCGUGUGCGAUGACGCUGGGUUGUGAGCACUGGCGGAAAAAGCGGCGGGAUAUGCUGGCUGGCGACGAUACCAGAUAUUUCCAUUUAUCGCUACGUACAUAGCCGCGGUGUCGUAAGUUGGCGUUAAUCGGAAUUACUGGGCGUAAAGCGUACGCAGGCGGUUCCGGAAAGAAAAGAUGUGAAAUCCCAGAGCUUAACUUUGGAACUGCAUUUUAACUACCGAGCUAGAAAGUGUGUCAGAAGGGAGGUGGAAUUCCGCGUGUGGCAGUGAAAUGCGUAGAUAUGCGGAGAACACCGAUGACAGCCUCCUGGGAUAACACUGACGCUCAUGCACGAAAGCGUGGGGAGCAAACAGGAUUAGAUACCCUGGUAGUCCACGCCCUAAACGAUGUCAACUAGCUGUUGGGGCCUUUCAGGCCUUGGUAGCGCAGCUAACGCGUGAAGGGGAUUGACCGCCUGGGGAGUACGGUCGCAAGAUUAAAACUCAAAGGAAUUGACGGGGACCCGCACAGGCGGUGGAUGAUGUGGAUUAAUUCAAGUGCAACGCGAAAAACCACCUACCCUUGACAUGUCUGGAAUCCCGAAGAGAUUUGGGAGUGCUCGCAAGAGAACCGGAACACAGGUGCUGCAUGGCUGUCGUCAGCUCGUGUCGUGAGAUGUUGGGUUAAGUCCCGCAACGAGCGCAACCCUUGUCAUUAGUUGCUACGAAAGGGCACUCUAAUGAGACUGCCGGUGACAAACCGGAAGGUGGGGAUGACGUCAAGUCCUCAUGGCCCUUAUGGGUAGGGCUUCACACGUCAUACAAUGGUCAGGACAGAGGGUCGCAACCCCGCGAGGGGGAGCCAAUCCCAGAAACCCGAUCGUAGUCCGGAUCGCAGUCUGCAACUCGACUGCGUGAAGUCGGAAUCGCUGUGUCGCGGAUCAGCAUGUCGCGGUGAAUACGUUCAGGUCUUGUACACACCGCCCGUCACACCAUGGGAGUGGGUUUUACCAGAAGUAGUUAGCCUAACCGUAAGGAGGGCGAUUACCACGGUAGGAUUCAUGACUGGGGUGAAGUCAGCAAGGUAG